GGGGAUUUAGCUCAGUGGUUCGGGCAUCUGCCUCACAUGCACAAGGUCCUGAGUUCAAUCCCCG
rnacentral:tRNA from 1 species